rnacentral:rRNA from 1 species
GACGAACGCUGGCGGCGUGCUUAACACAUGCCAGUCGAACGGAAAGGCCCUGCUUUUGUGGGGUGCUCGUGUGGCGAACGCGUGAGUAACACGUGAGUAACCUGCCCUUGACUUUGUGAUAACUUUAGGAAACUGCGGCUAAUAUCGGAUAGGAUCUCCUGCUGCAUGGUGGGGGUUGGAAAGUUUCGGCGGUUGGGGCUGGACUCGCGGGUUAUCAGCUUGUUGGUGGGGUAGUGGCUUACCAAGGCUUUGACGGGUAGCCGGCCUGAGAGAGUGACCGGCCACAAUGGGACUAAGAUACGGCCCAGACGCGUACGGGAGGCAGCGGUGGGGAAUAUUGCAGAAUAGGCGGAAGCCUGAUGCAGCAACGCCGCGUGCGGGAUGACGGGCUACGAGUGGUGAACAACUGUCGCCUGAGACGAGGCGUGAGUGACGGUAAUGGGUAAAGAAGCCACGGCUAACUACGUG